CACAAGCGGUGGAGCAAGUGUGGUUUAAUUCGAAGCAACGCGAAGAACCUUUACCAGGUCUUGACAUCCCGAUGCUAUUCUAGAGAUAGAAAGUUACUUCGGUACAUCGGUGACAGGUGGUGCAUGGUUGUCGUCAGCUCGUGUCGUGAGAUGUUGGGUUAAGUCCCGCAACGAGCGCAACCCCUAUUGUUAGUUGCCAUCAUUCAGUUGGGCACUCUAGCGAGACUGCCGGUAAUAAACCGGAGGAAGGUGGGAUGACGUCAAAUCAUCAUGCCCCUUAUGACCUGGGCUACACACGUGCUACAAUGGUUGGUACAACGAGUUGCGAGUCGGUGACGGCGAGCUAAUCUCUUAAAGCCAAUCUCAGUUCGGAUUGUAGGCUGCAGCUCGCCUACAUGAAGUCGGAAUCGCUAGUAAUCGCGGAUCAGCACGCCGCGGUGAAUACGUUCCCGGGCCUU
rnacentral:rRNA from 1 species